AGUGAACGCUGGCGGUAGGCCUAACACAUGCAAGUCGAACGGCAGCACAGUAAUAUCUUGCGCUUACGGGGGGCGAGUGGCGGACGGGUGAGGAAUAUAUCGUAAUCUACUUUUUCGUGUGGGAUAACGUAGGGAAACUUACUCUCAUACCGCAUCCGACCUACGGGUGAAGGCGGGGGAUCUUUGGACCUUUCGCGGUUGAAUUCGCCGAUGUCGGAUUAGCUAGUUGGGGGGGUAAUGGCCCACCAAGGCGCCGAUCGGUAGCUGGAGUGAGAGGAGGAUCAGCGACCCUGGAGCGUGGACAGCCACAAGACUCCUAAGAGACGCAGCAGAGGCGAAUAGUAGACAACGGGGGCAAGCAUGAUCCAGCCAUCCCGCGUGGGUGAAGAAGGCCUUCGGGUUGUAAAGACGUUUUGUUGGGAAAGAAAAGCAGCCGGUUAAUACCCAGCUGUUCUGACGGUAACCAAAGAAGAAGCACCGGCUAACUUCGUG
rnacentral:rRNA from 1 species